GGGAAUGUGGCUUAGUGGUAGAGUGCUUGCCUAGCAUGCAUGAAGCCUUGGAUUCAAUUCCUCAGUACCA
rnacentral:tRNA from 1 species